UUACCGUAGGUGAACCUGCGGAAGGAUCAUUAAAGUUAUAGUCCCCCGGCCCUCUGGGCUGGGGUCUUCUAUACCACCCUCUGUUUAUUACACCUUUAUUGCUUUGGCAGGCCUGCCCUCGGGCUGCUGGCUCCGGCCGGCUCGCGUCUGCCAGAGGACCUAAACUCUGUUUGUAUAUGAAGUCUGAGUACUAUAUAAUAGUUAAAACUUUCAACAACGGAUCUCUUGGUUCUG
rnacentral:misc_RNA from 1 species